rnacentral:rRNA from 1 species
UUGGAGGGCAAGUCUGGUGCCAGCAGCCGCGGUAAUUCCAGCUCCAAUAGCGUAUAUUAAAGUUGUUGCAGUUAAAAAGCUCGUAGUUGAAUUUCGGAAUCUGUCCGUCGGUCGGGCUUCAUUGUCCGUACUGGUGUGAUGGGUUUCUACCUUCUGAAUAAUCGGCAUGUCAUUAAUUUGGUGCGCCGGGGAAGCAGAACUAUUACCUUGAAAAAAUUAGAGUGCUUAAAGCAGGCUACCGCCUGAAUAGAUUAGCAUGGAAUAAUAAAAUAGGACGGCAUGGUUCUAUUUUGUUGGUUUCUAGGAUCACCGUAAUGAUUAAUAGGGAUAGUUGGGGGCAUUAGUAUUCAAUUGUCAGAGGUGAAAUUCUUGGAUUUAUUGAAGACUAACUUCUGCGAAAGCAUUUGCCAAGGAUGUUUUCAUUAAUCAAGAACGAAAGUUAGGGGAUCGAAGACGAUCAGAUACCGCCGUAGUCUUAACCAUAAACUAUGCCGACUAGGGAUCGGACGAUGUUAAUUUUUUAAUGACUCGUUCGGCGCCUUACGGGAAAC